ensembl:lncRNA
GUCCAAGUGAAGAGUGCACUAUCAAGAAUCUUGCUCCAGGGUAUGAGUAUGAGUUCACAGUUAAAGCUGUUGUGAAUGAGACGUUUGGAGGUGUGCCAAGCAGCGCUUCUGAUUACACCAAACCUUCGACUGUCACAAACCUAAAACAAUCAUAUAAAGAUAGCACAUUCAUAAAAGCCUCUUGGGAACCGCCCGAGGGAGGAUAUUCAGGAUACCGCUAUUGUCUUAAAAAAGUCGAUUACAGCCACAAGUGUACUUACUGCAACAUCAUAACAAGCAGCAGCAGUACGACAGACUUCAGUAUUACAGACUGCAACAUAGUGAAUGCAACUACAAAUGUAAUCACUGAGACUGAUAAACCAGACGGCAGCAAGUUUUGUCUGUGUGUGGCAGCGCUGACAAAUAAUGACAUUAUAUCAGGAGAAAUGGUUCCAAUCCCAGCAUACACACUCCCAAAAACUGUGAACCUCUCUUUGGAACCCGGCUCCGACAACAUGACUGCCCGCUGGGAAACAGAUGUGAAGUAUGAAUAUUUCAAAGUGAUGAUUACAACAGAUGCAUACCCGUACAAUCCCCUGCCACUUAGAAUUACAGAGUUGAAUUACACUUUCGAGAAACUGAAGGCAGGAGUGAAUUACACCGUUUCAGUUUACACAGUCAGUGGUGACCUGAUUAGUGUUCCUGCUAUAGAGUCAAAAUACACCAAGCCUACUAAGCCUGCUUGGGUAAAUGCCAUCGCUAGCAAAAAAAGCAUAGAUGUAUACUGGGGAGCUCCGUUUGCGUCACAGGGUGUCACGAUUAAUUAUACGGUGGAAUAUUACACGGCUUUUUGGAACAAAUCUGAUCAAAUAUAUACAAAUGGUACAAGCACCAACUUUACUGGUUUAAAUCCAGGAACGAGAUAUGACAUUAAUGUCCGUGUCGUGGCAGACGAUUUGAGUGAGCCAGCAACUUAUCAUGCAUACACAGUGCCUGAGAAGAGGACACUGGUGCUCACAAUGUUGUGUUCCUCUGAAACGGCGCUUCAUUGUGACAAAACUGACACUCGGAAAGAACUGUUUGACAAGCUGAAAAACAUAACUCAUAUCAAAUUUGAAAACAAGGUCCACUGGAAUCUGAGUUGGGCAAAAACAAAAGACAACGUCCUUUGAAUCCCUAUGACGUGGCCUGCUGUAACUAAGGGGAAAAAUCACAUACUGCAAUGCAUUGUGAACUCUGAUUUUGUUUUCUUACAUUUACAAACAAAAGCAAUUUGUCAAAGAACCAACAAUAUUUGUAAUAUACAACUCCUGGUUUAUUAGACUAGAUUAGGAAACAAGCUAGAGAUGAGGAGAAAUGCAAAGAAGAAAGACAUUUUUGGUAAACCCUGGAUUAUGGAGACCAAAUGUCCUCACAGAGAUAGAAAAACCUGACAUUUUUGACCUUAUAAAAAAGCUUAUAAAUCAUAGUUGUUUUUUGAAAAUGUAAAAAUGCAAAAAGUUUUCUGUGUGGGUUUUGCUAGAAGGGAUAGAAUAUACAGUUAAUAUACAGUUUAAAAAUCAUUAUUUCUAUGUAAAGUGCAUUGGUUGUUAAGUGCUUGUUUUUAGCUUCUUGAGAGAUUUGGGCUUUGAUUCUCACUCAUUUUUAGAACUCUAUUGUCUUUUCUUGUUACAAAUUGCUUAUUGACAUAUUUACUAAAUAGAGUGGAGUAAUGAUAUUUGCUAUAGUUAAGGGAGCUCGAUCUUCAAAACUGUAACUUGAAUAGCUUUUUCAUAAAGACAUUUACUAUAGCUUCAUGUGAGUUCCAAUUUUA